rnacentral:rRNA from 1 species
UACGGAGGGGGCUAGCGUUGUUCGGAAUUACUGGGCGUAAAGCGCACGUAGGCGGCUUUGUAAGUUAGAGGUGAAAGCCCGGAGCUCAACUCCGGAAUUGCCUUUAAGACUGCAUCGCUCGAAUCAUGGAGAGGUGAGUGGAAUUCCGAGUGUAGAGGUGAAAUUCGUAGAUAUUCGGAAGAACACCAGUGGCGAAGGCGGCUCACUGGACCGGUAUUGACGCUGAGGUGCGAAAGCGUGGGGAGCAAGCAGG